CGCUGGCGGCGUGCCUAAUACAUGCAAGUCGAACGAGUUCUCGUUGAUGAUCGGUGCUUGCACCGAGAUUCAACAUGGAACGAGUGGCGGACGGGUGAGUAACACGUGGGUAACCUGCCCUUAAGUGGGGGAUAACAUUUGGAAACAGAUGCUAAUACCGCAUAGAUCCAAGAACCGCAUGGUUCUUGGCUGAAAGAUGGCGUAAGCUAUCGCUUUUGGAUGGACCCGCGGCGUAUUAGCUAGUUGGUGAGGUAAUGGCUCACCAAGGCGAUGAUACGUAGCCGAACUGAGAGGUUGAUCGGCCACAUUGGGACUGAGACACGGCCCAAACUCCUACGGGAGGCAGCAGUAGGGAAUCUUCCACAAUGGACGCAAGUCUGAUGGAGCAACGCCGCGUGAGUGAAGAAGGCUUUCGGGUCGUAAAACUCUGUUGUUGGAGAAGAAUGGUCGGCAGAGUAACUGUUGUCGGCGUGACGGUAUCCAACCAGAAAGCCACGGCUAACUACGUGCCAGCAGCCGCGGUAAUACGUAGGUGGCAAGCGUUAUCCGGAUUUAUUGGGCGUAAAGCGAGCGCAGGCGGUUUUUUAAGUCUGAUGUGAAAGCCCUCGGCUUAACCGAGGAAGCGCAUCGGAAACUGGGAAACUUGAGUGCAGAAGAGGACAGUGGAACUCCAUGUGUAGCGGUGAAAUGCGUAGAUAUAUGGAAGAACACCAGUGGCGAAGGCGGCUGUCUGGUCUGUAACUGACGCUGAGGCUCGAAAGCAUGGGUAGCGAACAGGAUUAGAUACCCUGGUAGUCCAUGCCGUAAACGAUGAAUGCUAGGUGUUGGAGGGUUUCCGCCCUUCAGUGCCGCAGCUAACGCAUUAAGCAUUCCGCCUGGGGAGUACGACCGCAAGGUUGAAACUCAAAGGAAUUGACGGGGGCCCGCACAAGCGGUGGAGCAUGUGGUUUAAUUCGAAGCAACGCGAAGAACCUUACCAGGUCUUGACAUCUUUUGAUCACCUGAGAGAUCAGGUUUCCCCUUCGGGGGCAAAAUGACAGGUGGUGCAUGGUUGUCGUCAGCUCGUGUCGUGAGAUGUUGGGUUAAGUCCCGCAACGAGCGCAACCCUUAUGACUAGUUGCCAGCAUUUAGUUGGGCACUCUAGUAAGACUGCCGGUGACAAACCGGAGGAAGGUGGGGAUGACGUCAAAUCAUCAUGCCCCUUAUGACCUGGGCUACACACGUGCUACAAUGGAUGGUACAACGAGUUGCGAGACCGCGAGGUCAAGCUAAUCUCUUAAAGCCAUUCUCAGUUCGGACUGUAGGCUGCAACUCGCCUACACGAAGUCGGAAUCGCUAGUAAUCGCGGAUCAGCACGCCGCGGUGAAUACGUUCCCGGGCCUUGUACACACCGCCCGUCACACCAUGAGAGUUUGUAACACCCGAAGCCGGUGGCGUAACCCUUUUAGGGAGCGAGCCGUCUAAGGUGGGACAAAUG
rnacentral:rRNA from 2 species